rnacentral:lncRNA from 1 species
CCUGGGUGACAGAGUGGGACUCUGUCUCAAAAAAUAAUUUUAAUGAAACCUGCCUCCCAAACAUUAUAUUGCAGCAAUCUUAGAAGAAUGCACCACCUCUGGAAUAGAGAAGCAGUUGGGAAAGAAGUGUUUCAUGUUUCCUACACCUGGGCAACAGGCAGGCCCCUGACAACCACAAGUAAUUCUUUCCUGAGAGCCGGGAUCUUGCAACAGCUUGUCAUUAGUGCUGUUUAGCAUUUAAUUUGCCUUUAGUUAGGUAACAAGCAUUUAUGGAUUACCUGUUAGGAACGAAUGCACAGUAUGGGAACAGAGGGAUGAAUGAGGCACAGACUCUGCUCACAGCCUACUUGGACUAGAAAUAUCUACUCAGGAAAGAAAACUUGAAAGCAGUUAGCAAAUGCAAACCGAUAUACCACUACAGGGAAUCAUCACUCUUUCCGAAUUCAAGGCUCUAACUGCUGGCACACUUCUAAGGAAAAAAGAUAUGCGUUUCUGCAUCCCGUCUCAUGAUGGGAGUGAAGAUAUGCCAGUCACGCCUUCUGUGGGCUAAGGAACGGUCCGGCCUUCUCUUCCUCUGCAGAGUCCGGGCGUGAUGGAGACGCAGGAUGGAGGCAGCCAUCACCCAUUGAAAAACAGCCUGUCUGCCAGAUCUGGUGACCCCCCCCUAAGGUCCUUGGUAAAAACUGAGGCCUAGUUGUGUCCAGGAUGGCAGUGAGCUGGGAUUCAUUCAUGGCAGCCCCCAGGAGAUUGCGUUUUUAAACCAGCCCAAGGCAUGUGGUGGACAUGGAUUGGCAGCACCUACAGAUAACGGGGAAGGCUUUCCAAGGGGCCAAACGGUCCAUAGCAGUUAGGGAAGCGAACGUUAGAAGUGCAGGUCAAGGUCUCAGAGUGAGCAGUGUGGCUGGGCCAGAGAGGGCCUUCCAAGUGCAUAGCCAGUGGAGGCAGCUGGACACAGCUGACAUGACAAGGCAAGGCUGGAUCCGUCAGACUCUGGGAAUGCUCCCAGCCAUCAGGCUUCACGGAGCACUGCUUCUGUGCUAAGUUCCUGAUGCCAAGGAAAGUGAGAGAGACAUGGCCCUGGCCUCAAGAAGCUUUCCCGGCAGAUGGCCGUGUAUCCGGGAUAUGUUAAGGGAGGUGUAAUAUUAACCAAAAGUGGAGCUCUGAGCUCCUACCCUUGGCAGAGGGCUUCUUGGAGUAGAUCAUGCCUGGACUGUGCCCAAGGGCGUCUUGGAGUAGAUCGUGCCUGGAUCGCACUGAAUCAGUGUAAGCUGGGUCAAGUCGGGGAAUGGCAACCCAGGCGGAGGGAAGUGCAUACUUGGGACACGGAGGGCACAGACAAGCCGUGGUUCUCUGGCAGUGAGAUGGGUGCCAGGCCACAAACUGGAUCUGAGAGAUUAUUUCCCCAUCUGGGAACUGCAUGUACUAUGGAUUGUAAAGGGUCAACCUGAGAGACAGAAACAGGGAAAAGGCCCUCAACCAUUCACUUCAGUGUCUGGGGAUGCGUGGACUGGGGAAGAGUCUCUGGCUGGCUCCAAUGCGGUCUCUGCUUCUGCAGAGGGGGCCUUGCUCACACAGUCUUCAGACUUGCAUUCCCAGCUGGUGCCCAGCACCACGAAUAUAUGGGAAGAUAACAACUCUAAAGAGGGAUAAAAUGUAUUUUUUGGUCGGUUUUUAUUUUUCAAACACAUUUAGCAUUCUCUGGUUUUUAAAAAAUGCUUUUAAUAGAGCACAGACUCCUUUCCUCAGUGGUGAGGAGACAGAUUUAAGGGCUGUAGCUCAGACAGUCAGUGCCAGCUAGCAUUCAGGGAUCCAAGUGUGAGAAUCAAAUUGUCGUUUGAUGUGUGGAUUUGGCAAAGGCUCAGCACGCCUUGGAGACGGUGCCCGUGGCCCACACUGGGUGGCAGGUGCUUCUGCCUUGGGCUCUCUGCUCCUGCCGGCCGGGCCUGUCAUCGGCUGAAAAGCCGGCAUCUCCCACACCCAUCAGCUCCUCUCUGGAGCUGAGUCGCUGGACACUGUGACCACACUUAAGAGGCACAGCAUGCUCCUGCUGGGUGGAAUUUUAGGACACCUGGUCUGUGACCUCUUCAUUAUGACAUAAAAGGGACCUUCCCUGCAGUCCCACAAAUAGGAACAGAGCAGCACUGGAGCUGGCGCCCGACUCCCGGCAGGGAAGGGUUCUGUCCUCAUUUGGGCGUAUUCUGUUUCUGCCCACCUGGUGUGUGCCCUCCCUGACUCCUGCCCCAUUUCCAGACCCGGCUCACGCGUACUUCUCACACUAAGCAGUCUCACUGAAGCCACCGCUUGGAAUCUGCGGUGUUUACUGUCUGCCCCGCCCCUUUUGUUUGCCCGUUUGUUAUGGAGGUGUGUGUUUAAACGGGCAAAGCAGCGUGCUGCCAGGGACACCAGGAAAGCCCACUUAGCCAUCAACUGGAGACUCUGACAACUAGAAGAAACCUGGAAGGCCACGUGACAGAUAUGGAGACAGGCUGAGAGAAGAGUGGAAGAGGAUGUCAAUGGGCAGGAAUGGAGCCAAACUCUACGGGAGAACGGAGCUGGCCAGGCAGAGCUGCUGGACACCUGAGGCUCCCUCCUUCCACCACAAACACCACUGCCCCAUGGCCUAGAGAGGAGCGUCACUGUUCUUAGAACCAUCCUCUGACGUGAGCAGGACAAUGACGAUCACCACUGUGUAAAUCCUGACACUGGACCAGAGGAAUUGACUUACCUGCUUCAGCUCCAGGUGAGCACAGCCAGAACCAUGCUCAGAAGCCAGCACACGAAGGCCUGCAACUGCAGACCCCUAAGAAACCUUGGAGAUGCUCUCAGACAGUGCCCACCUCACUUUGCAGAUGGAGUGACUCACAGCUGGGACAAAGGUCCACUCGCUCUUGCCCCUGCAGUCUACCCACAAAGCAGCCAGGAGAGCUUCUAAAAAUGCAAAGCAGGUGGCGUUCUUCUGAAUAAGCCCUCCCAUGGCUCCCUAUCUUAGUACAAAAGCUGAAAUCUCAUGACCUGUGAGGCCCUCCAGCUGGCUCGCAGCCACCCCUCCAAAACCGAGUGCCUGCCAGCGCAUUGCCCACCCAGCUGCAGCCAGGCCCCCCACUGCUCAGCACCAUCUCCUCAGAGGCCCCCCCAUUCUUCCACGGGCAUGUUCCCUAUCCCCUUAGAGCACGCUUGGGCCUGAACUGAUCUUGGGUUCUGUCGCCUGUCUACCCCACUGGAAUGCAAACUCCACAGAGGCAGGGCUUUCUCUGUCCCCUGCCGCAUCCACAGUGCCGGGAACAGUGCCUGGCAUGGAGCAGGUGCAGUCGAAUGACCGACUCCAUGAAGUGAGGUGAGUCACCCACCACGCAGGGAAGAGUGGACAUGGGUAAACAGGCGCUGCCUGGGCUCCAGGCACACUGACUGCAUCCUGGCUGCUUGACUGAUGUGGUUAAUAAAUUACUAGAAGGCAAGCCCUCUAGGGCACAGCAGACUGGAUACUUGAUUAACCCAGGGUCUGUGUUAAUUCCAGGUGCCAAAAUAAUUUCUAGAAUUUCACCUGAGACCUAGAGGUAGUUCAUUUGAAAAUAAACAUGAUUUUCCAGAAGGCUCGAGCUUUCUCAAGGAAAGCAAUGCCCUGGACUCUCCUUCCACAGGAAAUCAGGAAGACAGGCUUUGGAAUUCCCAGUGGGGAAGCACAGUUGGAGGGGCCGGCCUCGGGCACCACAGUGCGCAACGCUGAACACAGGGCUCCCAGGCAGAGACUGGGAGGUCCCGACACCUGGACCCACAGGUGCACCCGCAUCUCCCAUGCUUUUACCCUUUCUCCUCCACCCCAUUUAUAGAAGUGAUCAGAGGUGAAUGAGGAAAUAGUGGGGGAACUGACCCCCUGGAAAGUCUGAAUUUGAGUGAAAUAAUGGGGAGAAGUGAACCCCUGGAAAGUCUGAAUUCUGCUUCAUCAAAGCCCAACACGGGCCUGUUUCCCUCUGCUGUCAACCCCAGGGAAUGGGGUGUCAA